rnacentral:rRNA from 1 species
AUUGAACGCUGGCGGAAUGCUUUACACAUGCAAGUCGAACGGCAGCACGGACUUCGGUCUGGUGGCGAGUGGCGAACGGGUGAGUAAUGUAUCGGAACGUGCCCAGUCGUGGGGGAUAACGUAGUGAAAAUUACGCUAAUACCGCAUACGAUCUAUGGAUGAAAGCGGGGGAUCGCAAGACCGCGCGCGAUUGGAGCGGCCGAUAUCAGAUUAGGUAGUUGGUGGGGUAAAGGCCCACCAAGCCAACGAUCUGUAGCUGGUCUGAGAGGACGACCAGCCACACUGGAACUGAGACACGGUCCAGACUCCUACGGGAGGCAGCAGUGGGGAAUUUUGGACAAUGGGCGAAAGCCUGAUCCAGCCAUUCCGCGUGCAGGAUGAAGGCCCUCGGGUUAUAAACUGCUUUUGUACAGAACGAAAAGGUUUCUACUAAUACUAGGAGCUCAUGACGGUACUGUAAGAGUAAGCACCGGCUAACUACGUGCCAGCCGCCGCCGUAA